AAAGGCUUACUUUCCAACUACCUAUCUUCCUAGACAGAAAUUAUGCCCAACAGAUGGGUACAAGAGGUCAUCUUCUCAGGAGCCAGACUUGAUCCUUGAGCUGAGGGCAAUAGAACUAAUAUCUGCUACACAAAGGAGUUCUAUUUGAGGAGAUAACACAGGAGUCUUUGACAGCACCACAUCUUAGAGACUUAA